CUGCCCUGGGUUCGGUGGUCCAAACUCUGCUAGCUUCUGCUAGUACUGUACGGUCCACCCAACUUAGGCAACUGCAG